ACAGCAGUAGCCGCGGGAAUACGUAGGGUGCAAGCGUUAAUCGGAAUUACUGGGCGUAAAGCGUGCGCAGGCGGUUAUAUAAGUCAGAUGUGAAAUCCCCGGGCUCAACCUGGGAACUGCAUUUGAGGCUGUAUGGCUAGAGUGUGUCAGAGGGGGGUAGAAUUCCACGUGUAGCAGUGAAAUGCGUAGAUAUGUGGAGGAAUACCGAUGGCGAAGGCAGCCCCCUGGGAUAACACUGACGCUCAUGCACGAAAGCGUGGGGAGCAAACAGGAUUAGAUACCCCUGUAGUCCCUGUCUCUUAUAC
rnacentral:rRNA from 1 species